rnacentral:rRNA from 1 species
AUUGAACGCUGGCGGCAUGCCUUACACAUGCAAGUCGAACGGCAGCACGGGAGUAAUCCUGGUGGCGAGUGGCGAACGGGUGAGUAAUACAUCGGAACGUGUCCUGUAGUGGGGGAUAGCCCGGCGAAAGCCGGAUUAAUACCGCAUACGAUCUACGGAAGAAAGCGGGGAUCCUUCGGGACCUCGCGCUAUAGGGGCGGCCGAUGGCAGAUUAGCUAGUUGGUGGGGUAAAGGCCUACCAA